UACGUAGGGACCAAGCGUUGUUCGGAUUUACUGGGCGUAAAGGGCGCGUAGGCGGCAUAUUAAGUCAGCUGUGAAAUCUCCGAGCUUAACUCGGAACUGUCAGCUGAUACUGAUGUGCUAGAGUGCAGAAGGGGCAAUCGGAAUUCUUGGUGUAGCGGUGAAAUGCGUAGAUAUCAAGAGGAACACCUGAGGUGAAGACGGGUUGCUGGGCUGACACUGACGCUGAGGUGCGAAAGCCAGGGGAGCAAACGGG
rnacentral:rRNA from 1 species